UCCUACGGGAGGCAGCAGUCGGGAAUUUUGCCCAAUGGACGAAAGUCUGAGGCAGCAACUCCGCGUGAGGGAUGAAGGCUCUCGGGUCGUAAACCUCUUUUCUCAGGGAAGAUUCAAGACGGUACCUGAGGAAUAAGCCACGGCUAACUACGUGCCAGCAGCCGCGGUAAUACGUAGGUGGCGAGCGUUGUCCGGAUUUACUGGGCGUAAAGAGCGCGCAGGCGGCUGGUCAAGUCCGAUGUGAAAGCUCCCGGCUUAACUGGGAAAACGCAUCGGAAACUGAUCGGCUUGAAGGUGGGAGAGGGUAGCGGAAUUCCCGGUGUAGUGGUGAAAUGCGUAGAUAUCGGGAGGAACACCAGUGGCGAAGGCGGCUACCUGGCCCAUUCUUGACGCUGAGGCGCGAAAGCUAGGGGAGCAAACGGGAUUAGAUACCCCCGUAGUCCC
rnacentral:rRNA from 1 species